UGUAGCCCAUAGCAUAGUAUGUUGAAGAGAGAGAAGCAUUCUCUUCCAAAAGUACAAAAUUGGUCACAAGACUGUAAUGUGCUUGCAGAAACCAGUUAUGUUCGAUGGGUAGGUGUUUUCGUGCUUCAAAUUAAUAUUUGUCCUUUAAAAUAGCAGAUGUUUCGCUGUAUAUGUAGGCAGUCGACAAGAGCAGGCACACCGCCGCUGUUCCAAGUGAAGGGCUGAGAGACAAGUGUGGCUCUCACGGCCAAGGCAAUCCCCGCCCCCUCCUCCUACCCCUUCCACUCUGCGGUGAUGCUUUCUUGGCAUCUCAGACGCAAGCUGUUGUGCCUCACUUCUCAAAUGCACCGAAGCUACAUUUCCCAGCACAAUAAUGGCUACCUGCUUAAAGCCAGGUCCUCAGACCAAGCUUCAUCAGCGCCCAGGCACUGGUUAGAGAUACAGACCCCCAGGCUCCAGUCCACACCUGCUCGAUCGGAACCUGCACUUGAACGAGACCCCCAGUGAUUCUUCUAUACAUUCAAGUCUGAGAAGCACUGAUACCCCAACACUCCGUCCUCCUAUCUCUUUAUGGGCUCUUCCCAUGCUUUCCUUGUGUUAUCUAUUUCUGCACUAUACUUUCUAUUUUCCAUACAUUAGUUGAGGGCAAGCCUUGCCUUAUUUUUUCAAAUAUCUAUUUAGCAUGUAGGUGCAUUUCCUAAGCAUAGUGGUGCUUCCUCAACUCCUGAAUUCAAUUUAGAGACUCAGAUGAUAAUAACCAAAAAAGAGUGGCAGAAAGGGAAGAGGGACAAAGGCAAGUGGAGCUCUAGAUUUUAGGCAUAUUCAACUCUUCCACUUUCUAGCUGGGCAGUCUUGAGCAAAUUAUUUAACUCUUCCAAGGGGCAGUUUUCUUGACUGUAAAAUACAGAUCAUAAUCGCUAUCUCAUAGGUGUGUUUCAAGGAGCAAAUGAGCUCAAACAUAUAAAGCCAUCAGUACGGUACUAAUUGGCUCAUAGUGGGUUCUCAAGGAAUGUUAGCUACUACUAUAUUAAUUAUCAUUUAAGCCAGUAGGUUCUAUACAUAUCAUAAAUCCAAAAAGAACACCUCUCUAACUUUUUAAAAUUACUCUUUAGUUCUCCACUGGGGGAGAUUUUGUUCCCCAGGGGACAUUUGGCAUCGUCUGGAGUCUGCCUGUCAUGAAUGGGGGAGAAGGGGAGAAGGGUGCUACUGGCAUCUAGUGGGUAAAGUCUAGCGAAGCUGCUAAACAUCCCAUGGCACUCAAGACAGCCCCACAACAAAGCAAGGCCCAGCCCAAAAUGUCAAUAGUGCCAAUGUUGAGAACGCCCCCUCCUCCCCGUUACCCACAGAGGCACUGAGGUAAGCAAAAUAACCAAUUUUUCUCUUGAGGAUUUAAGUACCUUGGUAUAUGCCCUCUCUCAGGUAUUAAUGCUGAGACCCUUUGUCAGGAUUCAUUUGCUGUGAGGCCAUCGUUUCCUCUGGAACAGAACCGCACACUGGAGAACCUGAUGCAGCCUGAUUAACCUAUUAAAGGUCAUAAAACAAUAACAAUUACAUCGCACAUUUCAUUCUUUAAUAUCAAAGAGAGCUAGGUUCUUUGAAAUGUAAAACAUCAUAAGUGAAAGAAUAACGCCUGCAAUUCCCCCAGGAGCCCAAGGACUUUUGCUGCCCAUGACUGAGGUCAGACAGUGUAGCUGUGGUCCAUGGUUCAAAAUAGAUGCUGAAAAUGGAGCAAAAUAAAUAUCUUUACAGCUGGUAGAAGAAUCAAGCAUGAAGCUCCUCUCUCUCUCUCUCUCUCUCUCUCUCUCUCUCUCUCUCUCUAAAAAAGCAGAGAAGCUGCAAGAGCUCCCAAGAAUGUAUUAGUUUCCCAGGUACUACUGCAAAAAUAAGGGUGAGGAGGCGAGUGUUAGGCUUUAUUCCUACUGUGAACAGAUUAAGCAGACACCAAUUUACACCUCAUUGUUAAGAGUAACUUCUUUCCUACAAGUGAGACCACAUUUACAUCUUUUGUAAUUAAGCUAAAGGAAUUUUUUUUAAAAAAAAAUGACAUUUCCCCCACCGCAAACCAGGAAGUAAAUAAAUAUUGUAUGUUAAGUGGGAUCAAAUGCUAAAAUAUAUACAUUAGAGCCAUUUAAAAAAAAAAAAUGAGACCGAGUGCUAGAGUCACCUUUCAGCCUCAUCAUCUGCUGGGCUGGGAUAUUAGCUGUGGUUUUUGGUGUUUUGGUUUUGGAAAAGGCCACGAAUAACUAACAGGAGCAGUUAAAGAGAUGGUGAGCAGGGAGGGCUUCGCUCUGGGGAAGGGCUGGUUGUUGCCAGCUUCUCUGAAGCCAGGAGCCACGGCAGUGAGUUAGCAAGUGCUUCCGGGUCAUUCAAGGGUCCCCAUCCAUCAGCAGGAAUGUGACACUACAAUACCAUGCAACCCUACAUACGUCUCCUGCGUACUUUGGCAAUUUUCAUUUUUAGGAAAAUUGAACACAGAAAGCUGUAUGUUAAAGAGCUCUAACAUCCUUUAUUCCCCAUGCAAGAGAAUCUAGCUGGGCAAAGAGGCAUCUUUUUUUUCUCGUAACAAUAGAGUUUGCGUGGCUGCUAUAAACAAUACGAUAACGGACCCAGAUAAUACAUAAUUGCAGGACAACAGGGAGAAUGAGGUGUGGGCAAGGAGGAAAAUGGAUGGUUUCGGAUGAGAUUUGCACGGAGAUUGAGUCAGUGAGGUGAAGGGAAGCCAGCCCAGGUCACGUCUGUUCUGCACUAACUAAGGUAAAUUAUGGGCUGCACACCUGGGCUGCGAGCCGGAGGCCGCACCGCCAGCCCAGGCUGUGUCUUUGCAAGACGGACUUCUCCCAUGACGGGCUCGCCAAGUGAAGUAUUCGCAGGGAAGGCUGUAACUGGUGAUCGGCCAACGCGAUCAGUCAAAUCAGGUGCCUGCUUUUUAAGAAAACGGUGGCAAGCCCUGAGAUACACAUUUAUAGAGCGUAAAUGCCAGGCUGUCACAUCCUUGGCACAUGCCUAGGUGUUGUCACUGCGUGGGCUCGAUGUGCAUUCUCCGCCCUGAUUAUCAGCAUGAAAAGACAAAGCCUCAGAUAUAUUUCUCUUUAUUUUUAGGCUUUUCCUGGAAAAGGUACAAACACAUCACAAACUUUGUCUUCCAAGAAAAGAUCAGAUGUACCUUUUGGAGGUAUCUUUCUCCUUGUGCCACUUGCUUUUUUAAUUCGAGCCGGCUCGGAGAGUCUCCUUGUCUUCCCUGGGGCUCCUCCUUACCCUUUCCAGGGUGGCUGUUCUGGUGCAGAGUCACCUCCUUUGCUACGGAUGGCGGUUCUCACCACCCAUGAAAAGACCUCCUGAUAAAACACUUCCCAGAGAACCUCCCUGACCUUCCCUUUCCCUUGACCACAAGGCCACAUCUGUGUUCUAUCAAGUGACGUCUUACACAUCUUUGUAAGUUGCAUGAACUAUGUGUCCUUACAGACUGCACUCACGUUCAGCGUCACCAUUAAAUGUAGAACCCAAUCUGUAGCUCUGAUUAAUUUGGUAAUUUAGCAGAUACUGUCAUGCAUUGAAUAAUGACAUUUCGGUCAGGGACAGGCUGCAUAUACAAUGGUGGUUCCCCCGAUGUUAUAAUGGAACUGCACUAUAGAGUUGUACCAUUUUUUAUCUUUUAUACAUUUUUACUGUGCCUUUCAUGUUUAGAUAUGUUUAGCUACACAGAUUCUUACAAUUGUGUUCCAAUUGCCUGUUAUCUUCAGUGUAGUACCAUGCUGUACAGGUUUGCAGCUUCGUAGCAGUAGGUCAUCCUAUAUAGCCUAGGUGUGUAGUAGGCUCUACCAUCUGGGUUGAUGUGAGUACACUCUAUGAUGUUUGCACUAUGACAAAAUUGCCUAAUGACACACUUUUCAGAAGGUGUCCCUGUCGCUAACCAAUGCACGACUUACGUAUGAAGUCUACCCUCUGUGUCAGCCAUGGUUUUAGGUAUGGGAACCAAAAAGACAACUUCCUGCCCUCUUGGAACUUACAUUCUGAUACAGGGGGUCCCACAAGGACCAAAAUAAGUAAACUAUGUAGUGAUUUAGACAUAUUGAGUGCAAUGGAGGGAGAAUGUAAAGGGAGAGUGGGGAAUUGGGGGGAAGAAAGUGAUACAGUUUGAAAUAAGGCGAUCAGGGUAGGACUUGCUGAAAAAAAAAAAAAAAAAAGAUGUUGGAGGAAAAUGCCCAAAUGGGGUGUGAGAGUAAUCCAGGUUGACAAGGAUGAAUACUCGAGGAAGGGGAACAAUGGGAAUUGACAUCUGAGACACUGAGGGGAGGGCAGAGCAUGCCAAGCCCUUAGAAUGUUAGGAAGGCUUUGGCUCUUCUGCAAUAAGAAGCUCUCAGAUGGUCCUGAGCAGGAGUAACAUUAUCUGGGGUACAGUAUAAAUGAUUGCAGAACUGAGAAUAAUCAGUAGUGGCUGUCUCAGUUACUUAUUACUAGAUAAGAAACUACACUAGAACUUGAUGUCUUGAAACAAGAGUAAUUUAUUAUUUCUCAAAUUUCGCUGUCUACCAUGCAGUUCUCUUGCUGGGCUUGCCUGUACUCGCUUGCACAGUUGCAUCCAGCUGGUGGGGCAGGUGGGGGCUGGACUUGGUGAAAUGGCUCAGCCUCCCCCUCCACAUGGUUUUGCAUCUUCUAGGAGGUCAGGAAAGGCUUUCUUUAAUGGGGAUGGCACUCUUCCAACACAGCAGGCCCCAAUGCUCAAGAGCGUACCGGGCCUUUCUUUGUAUCAUGUUAGCUUAUGCCCCAUCGGUCACAGCAAACCACUAGGCCAGUCCCAGAGUCAGAGCAGGAGAGGGCUAUUUAAGAUCAUGGAUACAUGAAGCUGGGAUACAUUGGUUGUCCUUAACAAAACAGGGGCCACAGUGGCCAAAAGUGCAAAUCACGGAAAGUCAUUUGGGGGACUCUACGACAAUCCAGAAACGAUGUGAGGUAGAUUGCACCAGAGUGAUAGCAGUGGAAGUUUUGAGAACUGCCCAGAUUCUGCCUAUCUUUUAAAGGAUGACCUUAUUUUUAUUCAUCCAAGUCACUAGGACAAGUCUAUUAAGCUUCCAGGGAUUGGUGAUGUUCUUAUUAUGCAUGAGAUGAUGUCAUAAUCGAGUAAAUGAGGUCAGGCAUAGGUUUCUUUUAUUGCUGAUAAUUAUUCAAUGAGUUUUCUGAAUGAUUGUAAACUUAGUAAUUCACUUAGUGACUGUACACGGCACCCUGUCAAUAUCAUCAUCAGCUAAUAUUUAUUGAGCAUCCUCUGAGAACAUGAUAUUGCACUCACAGCAACAGAGGUGAGCUGCAUUAAUUGUUUCAACCAAUGCAGGAUUAUCAAGUGGUUUAUUACAUCACUCUAUUAAUUGGUGCCCUAGCAGCGUCCAGAGCAGAAUUCAGCUUCCAGAACAGAAUUCCUUAUUCCCUUGGAGUAGAUCUAGCUUGGAUAGAAUCUGACUGCACAAAGAAAUGAUAUGGAUCCCUGCCUUUAUAAGUAUGCUAGUGCUUUUUUUAUUAACCCUAUUAACAGAAACUGAGAGAUAGUGGUCCCAUUUAGUGGAUGGAGAAGUUGAGGCAGAUAGUAAUUAAGUAAUUUGGCUAAUACUAUGUACUGAAAUGGUGGCAGGUCUGUGACUGAAAACACAGUAACUUUUUCAACUGCACUAUACUGCCUCUCAGUGGUGCAUUCUCCCUCACACAAAUAUAUGGUCACAAAAACACCCAAAAAGGUUUAACCGGUGUCUGUGCUCUUUUAGAGAGUGCAUGGCACUUUUCUUUGACAUCUGCACAGCCUAAUCACUGGAAAAGUGGUUUGUUUGUUGUUGUUGUUUAAGCCCCUUAUUAAAGGGGAUUUGUCAGCUGUUGAAAUCACCACUUUUUUGUGUUAGUUAAAUUCUCAUCAGAAAAAUGCUGCUUUCAGAGUGCAUCUAGAGAUUUAGGAACCAGCUCAUGAAAUAAACUAUUUAAUUGAGAUCCCUACUUUCAUUUUGUUCUGGAAACUGUUAUUUAAUGCCAAUUGUUUUGAUCAAUCAUUCCUUUUGAGAGAGUUCUACCUUUUAUAAAUGAAAGAGUUAAAUUUGGAGCUAAAGAAAAACUGUGAGUGGAAGGGGGGGCAGUGCAAAUGCAGAAUUUAUUUGCAAAUCUUGAAAGUCGCACCAUUAAAUGUCAUGCACUCUGAGAUGCACUAGAGUGUGCACCCUCCAGAAUGUCUGUUUGUUGUAAUUCCAUCGCAUUACAUAUUUUAGUGCAUAUCUCCUCCUGGCAGCUUCCAGAGCUUUUCAGAUAUUCAGCAUCAGAAAUUGCACUGUUUUAUCCUGGAUUUUACAAAUAGCAACCAGAUUAUUGUAAAACAGAACUAUCUGAUAAGUGAGGUUGUGAAUUGCUUUUGUGAUUGUCAUGGGUAAGUGUAUUGAAGAAACUGGCAAACAGUACAGCAUACUGGUUACUGUAGAAAUAAAACCUGUAGCAGUGAAUGCGUUUUUCUGAUGAAUACGUUCAAGGCUGUGAUCAUUGUGCAACUUCUGGUUGGAUGCUUUCAAAUGUUCCGUAUUGAAAAACAUCGGUAACAAGAACCAAAUAGUCCACCAAAGCCUGUAUUCAACUCAAUGGAGAGGAACGUAAAUUCUUACUUAGAGUUUCAUUGAGGCCAACUCUAUUUGGUCCACCAUGGGAAGGAGAGAUUUGAGGUUCUCUCUUGAUUUGCUUUCCAUUUUUACUUUAUGAUGAGGCGGCUGCUACUUUGGUUUUCACUUAAGGGGUUGUUCAAAUCACUAUGCAAAACAGAAAUGGAAAACAGACAGGACCGACUUCUGUUCAGCAGACAAAAACCAAAAUGCAAGAACAUGGUAAUUAAUGUUAGCAAUUUUAUAAGCAAAAUAAUUUGUUUUAAUUGGCCAAAUCAAAUCUGAUAUAAUUAUAAUAUUCAAUAAACUAAUUUCAGAUAACUAUUUAUAUCACAAACCUUUAAUCAUAUUAUAUACUAAUUGCAAUUUUGGAAACAGAUAUGAAAAUGGACCUGAAUUAUCUCAUCUUUGUAAAUAAGAAAGACACAUUAAGGGCUUUUUCAAAACUUCAAAGGUUAUAUUCUUUUCUUAUUUUUUUCUUUUUGAAAAACAGUAAUUUAUAGACAAUUCCAGGAGUGUGAAUCUCUAGUGAAUCCAGACAGAAGCAUUAUGAGGGUGAAAAAUCUUUCCUAAAAAAGCUCCUUUUGUCCAAGGAGAAAGGCUUAUUAGGAUGAGGUGUCUUCUACAAUGUUCUUUCCUAUCCUAUUCACCCUAAGGAAAAACAAAUCUCCUAGAAGAGAUAGAUGUAUAAUUGGGCCUGAAAUGACCCCAUAGAAGAGACCCUAUAGAAUUGAGAAAUGCUCUCUCUAAGGAUUAGCUGCCCAUGGGUCAACCCAAGAUGACUUCCAACUAAUGUAUAAAUGAUCAGGGGGGAAACGAUAUUCUUCCAGAGGGCAGCUGUUAAUUCUUCCUACUAUGAGAAUCUCAAUUUGUUGGGAUGAGCUAAUUUUGACACUAACUUGAACAACGGUUAACGCAUAGCAUGUGCUCCAAAAAUAUAUAUACCAAAGUAAAUAAAGGAAUGGACUUCCAUACCACCCGAGGAGUGAAAAAAGAUAGAAAAAAUUGAUGUACUUUGAUCACUAUUCUGGCUGUAUUUUAACAAUGUUUUUUUUAAAGGCCAGGGACUUUAUUAUAAACUCUUUUGCAUAAUUUCUGAAUGAUAAAAUUGUAGACCCAUAAGCACUAUCAGUAUAAACAUCAAAUCAGUUUGUGCUUAUGUUUUGUGCUGGGUAGUACUCAAAGGAAUAGUGAUAUGUAUUAUAUAAAAAAUAAAGACAAUUAGUUCCUGCAACCUUCAGUAUGCUUAAAAUCUAUGUGAUAAAGUAAGACAUGAAUCCAGUAAAAGUGACUUAGUAAUAUUAGAAUAACAGUUCAACAACAAUAUGAGGUGUCCAAAAGCAGGACAAGAUUAAUUAAAUUAUAUGUAAUAAAAUGUUCCAGGCAAUGGCUGCUUUGAAAUGGGAGAAAAGAGCAUUUCCUAUGAGAUACUAUAACUCCUAAACUAGAAAGGAUUCUUUGUGGAUGAGGAAAUACUUUAUAUUGAAUAAAAAAGGUAGCAUACAUUUAACAAAACAAAUUCCAUGUGAAAGGAGAAGAUGUGGAGCUAGCCGGGUACAAAAAGUGCUUGGAUGUGUAUAACCAAUUGUGUGGGAAUUCUAAAACAUUGCCAGAAAUAGAAGGAUUUAGGCAAAAUUGAGUCACAUAUUCAUUUAUCAAACAUAUAUGUGUUGAGCAAUCACCCUGUGUUAGGUAUACACUUAGGUACUAGGAAUACAGCAGUGAAUAACAGCAACAACAACAACAAAAAAUAUCCCGACCGUGAAGUUUAUGCAAAUAUUGUAAGGCAGGUAUGAGACAGUAAGCGCUUGAUACCACUGAAUAUCCUGUGUGGGAAACAUGAGGCAUUUAUCUUCUUGGUUCUGUUGCUUUUCACUUGUGCAUAGACAGGCAGAAACCAUAAUGUAUACAUAAAAUGAAAGCAUCCAUUCAACUUGUUGAACAUUUAACAAUAUUGUUCAUCACCAUGUACAUAGAAAAAUAUGAUAUUGGAUGACUGAAUGUUUUACAUUUUUCUGGGUUGCUUUAGUAUUAUAUAGACUUAGCCAAAGAAAAAAUAAAUGAGAAGGUAAUUAUCGCAUUUACUUAAAAAGAAAGAAUUAAAAGUGACUAAACACUGUGGGUAUUUGAGUGGUUAUUUCUGCCUUUCUGUGUAACCUUAAACGGACGACUUUCAGUUAAUAACUUUCCCUUUUCCAUGCAUGGAAUGGGUGGCCUGAGGGGGCCAUCUUCAAGCAGAAUAUAAAUGCCAAGUAUAAGAAACCAAAUCAAUGAGUAUCACUUUCUUACAGCUUUUUUUGCAGAGAACUUUAUUCGUUUUUAUCUGCAUGGCUCAUUCAUAUGUAAUGUUUGUCUUUUAUAUUAUUUUGUAUAAUUAUGACGGUUUCAUAGAAAGAAUGACGAAACUAUUUUCUAAAAAACAAAAUAAAACAAACAAACAAAAAAAAACCCAAAACAGUAUCACUGAAUUUAAAUGUGCUUAAAAGCUUUAUUCCCCAUGGGCAAAGAUGAUCAAGCAGUCAACAAACACUUAUCAUGUAAACAAGCUAUAUUUUAAAUAGAUUUAUGAAAGUUACUAAAGAAGUAGAGAUGUUUAAAACAUAUAUAUUGCUCCCAUUUAGUUUAUAAUAUAAUUGGGAAAAUGGAGCACAAAACCCAAGACCCAAAUUUUAAUGAUAAUAAACCAAUAUGACAUAGGCUAAGUUCUGGAUGGUUGGCCUGGAUAAAAAUAACUAGAAAAUAGAAAGACAAGUGUUUCUAUCCUGGCUGUGCCAUUUGUUACUUGCGUGACAUCACGUAAGUUAAUUUUGCUAAACCUUAAUUUUGUCUUCUGUAAAAUGGUUCUAAUAACCGCCAUUUUGUGGGCUUUUAUAAGGUUUAGAAAUUAAAAGCAGUAAGUCCCUGUCAUGUAAGAAGCAUUUGCAUCGUUACUAACUACUCUUUAUUGUGUAGGUGUUAUUAAAUAACUAUAUACUAGGUCUUGUGCUAAUUGCUUUACAUUUAUUAGCUAAUUAAGGUUUCACAAUAUUUUAUAGAUGAACAGAAUAAGGUUUGGAGAGGAAAGGAACUUGACCAAUGUCCCACAGUGAGAAAGCAAAUGUAAGGGUCAGGAUUUGAACCCAGGGCCAAGCCCAAACCCACGCUCCUAAUUAUAGUACCGCCAACUUUCCUGGAGCACUUGAAUAGCUAAUAGGAUUAAAACAAUUUCUUCACCAUAAACCAAAAAGGUCAGAGACGUUUUUGUGGAGGCCAUGUAACUUGUCCUGCUCUUCGAUAAAGAAACUGGAGCUAAACAUGUUGAGAUGAAGAAGAAAAGGACAUUCUAAAGAGAAUUAAAAAAUCCACGUGAGGCUCUGGAGAGGGUGCACAUGGAUCAGGCUGGGAGAGCAGCGAGCUUCUGUGCAGUGGUGAUAGAAUGAAUGUUUGCAAGAAUAGGUUGGUAUCAAACUGCGGAGAUGAUUGAAUAUGAGGCAAAGAAAUCUGCACUUUAUUCUCUAAGGAAUUGUGCACCUUUGAUGAUUUUUAAGCCGAUGCAUAAGAUAAUGGAAUAAAACAGACUUUCAAUUGACCAAUCAAUAGCUAUUGGGAACGGAUGUCAUUCAGAGUGGCAUUUUAAGAAGGUUAUUCCAGCUUAUGAAGGAUGAAUUGGAGAAGAAGAAAAAAAAAAACCUCUUAAAAUGGUUGUUUUCAAUAGCUGUGUCAUGACCACUGGGAGAAGUGUCACAACUAACAAGUCACUGAUAGUAAAGUAUUGGUUUGCCAAAGAUUAGCUGCUUUGUACAUUAGAGCAGAUUCAAGGUCAUAGCUAGAGUAAUGUCACUCUCCUUCACUCAGAUUCCAAGUGCCUUCUUGAGAAGGGGAAAGGUGGUGUUACGAUCUGGUGCAGCCUUGCCAGGACCCUAGGAAUGUCCCCAGGAACGGGUGCUGCAUUGCCCCCUUCAUGUGUUUUGGCACAGAAAAGCUUGAAGAAGUGCUACAUUAAAGGAUUGUUGCAACAGUCUAGGCAAAAGUACACAGAUGGCGAAAGUGUCAGGGGUCUGGAAAUAGAACCACAACUAUAAGAGAUGUGGGAGUGGUAUUUGCUAGUUAUUGAUAUUUGGAUGAUUAGGGGGUCAGAGGAAAGAAAGAAAUGAGCCCUGAAUGACUCAAAGGAUUUUUAUAUUUGAGACUAUUGAGGGCAUUUGGAGAAAGAGCUUGCUUUGCUUUGAGGGUGAGUUCAUGAGUUUGGUGGUAGAACUUGUUGAGUUUUGAGCAUGUUAACCAAGUGGAAAAACCCAGAGGGCAGUUUGAAUAACUAGAGCUUGUAAGGAAGGGUCAGAGUGGAAAGCAGCUUUUGUGAGUCAUCCAUUUUGAGGUGAUGAAAUAUUGUCUAUGUUACCAAUUUAAAAAAUUUUUUAAAGGCUGGUGAGUGGGUUUCCUAACAAUAGAAGUUAACAUUUAUGAAGCACUUGCUAUGUGCUAGGAACGGAACUCAAAAUAGCACAUACAUCAUUUAUUCUUAAUGACAGCCCAUGAGGCAAAGUAGUAUUAUACACAUUUUAAGAUGAGGAAACAGCCACAGAGAGGCAAAAUAGCUCAGUCAUGGCCACACAGCAAGCAGGUGGUAGAGCUGGGAUUCUCUCCCAGGUAGGCUGGUUCCAAAAACUGAGCACUUAACUACCAUUUCAUACUCCACAAUAUAAGCACAUGAAUAUAAAGCUCUCCCACAGGGAAAUCAGUCAUGUAGAAGUCACAUUCCAGUAAAGCAUGAACAUGACUUGGCAACCCCAGUAUAAUCAGAUAGCCCCCCUCACUCAAGAUAUCUUAAGAGUAAAUCAUAUAUAUCAAACUAUAAAUGAUACCCACUGAGGGUACCCACCUCCUCACUAAGAAAGUGGUGGAAGUAAGCAACACUGAUAGCCAUUUAUAGCUUUUUAGAAAAAUCUCUCUUUUUGUCUGGCCUUGAUUUCUUUUUAUCUUUCAUUGACUACGUUUUGCUGAUCCUGUUCAAUAAAGCCCAGGCCCCCCCCCUCCCCUGCUUUUAUUGUGUGAAAUAGUUGCAUCCUUGUAACCGGGUCUUUAUUUUUAUCGGCAGAAAAUUCCACUUACUCCCUUGUAUUAAAGUUAAUUUAACUAUAGAACCUAUAUCAAUAAUGCCAUUUAAAAGAGGCUGCUUCUAAUACUCUGUUGCAAAAUGUCUGCAGAGAAUUCCGGAUUUACUAUCACCACUUCCCUUGCUGCUAGCCGGGCCUUGCAGCUUCCUUUCCCUUCUACAUCUGAGCACUCUCUGUUCUCUGGCCAGCUGCCUUCUGUUCAGCCCCUGUGUGUUCUCCAUUCUCUGCUCUGCCUUAAUGAUAAGUAGAGUUUCAUCCUGAGCACAUCAGGGUAGAGGUGGGGGUUACUUCUUUAUUUGGGUCCAAGCGAAAAACAUACCCUCCUAUUGGCAAACCAUGAAAAGUAUGACACUUUGAGUUUAACAAGAUUAAGUAAUCCUUCUUUGGAUACAGCAAUGUGGCCAGCGUGGGGGAAGAGAGUGUUUUUCUUCUUGGACCAAUUCUCAUUCUGUAUCUGGUGGCUUACACAAGACUUCCAAAAUACAAGAUGCCUAGGGGCCAGGGGAUAUAUUGUUGGGAUAUACUAUAGUUAAAAUGACUGUUUUUUGUGUUUUGGUUUGGUUUUUUUUUUCAGUUUUUCCAAAAUGAUAAUUGUUAUAAGUAGAGCACUAGAAUUUACCUCCUGAUGUUGAAAUUGCUUAAUUUCAAAGAGAUGGCCAGUCAAAAGCUUGGGUGUCUCCUCUUCUCAUUGGCUUGCUGUGUUUUUAGCUCAGGUUUCCAUGGAAAGCAAGCAGUCAUUUUCACCAAUAACUUAACUUAUACCAAAUACUUGACCUUGGAAUCAGCAAUUUACAUCCUUAUAAAAGAGGUCACUUAGGGAAUUUAACUGUGUAAUCCCAGCCCCCAUGUGGCAGGAGAUGAGUAGAAAUGGAACAAAGCUGGUGAGACACCAUUUGAAACAAUUUGAAUUGGGAAAUCAUUUCUUUUUGACUUUGUUUUAAAAAUGGAACCUACUUUAAAAUGGUACAGGAAGGGAGAAGGAUGCAGUUAAAGUCUGUAGAAAUAGUGACUCAAAAACUCUGUUCGAGGACUCAAGAAAGCAAUCCUGUUGUCACAAUUGGAGGGAAACCAGAAAGAAUUUAGGUUUUUACUGUCCUAAUAGAUACUUUUCCAACACCUUUCCUUCAAACACCAUGCCCUCCCUUUUAUUCUGCCUUUAUUAAUAAAACUAAUGGAGAGAAACACCUUUUAAACUUGAACCAGGAAACAGAGGUUUUGCAAGUGCUAAUAUUUUGGUGUGGGCUUUUUUUUUUUAAUUAUUUUUUUUUAAGACAAUUAUCAAGACGAAGCAUUUGUUUCUUCUUUUGUUUACCCAUGGCAGUUUGUCAGCAGUUAUGAUAAGUAGAGUUCCAUCUGCCAGUAAAACUACAUUGCAAAUUGCCGUAGAAAUUAGCAGCUUUCAUUUUUGCCUACAUAAAUAAAUAUGCGAAAUAAAUUGCACAUAAAUGCAUCCCAAAAAAAUCACAGGUACACCGGCACAGUUAAAUGCCAAUCAGACAAAAAAAAAAAAAAACCAGAGACACAUUGCGAUUAUCUCAGUUUUCAAACCUGGAAGAUACACGAAUGUGUUUCUAAAUGAGAGAGGCAGUGUAUCAUGCUCGCUGAGAUAAAAACAGAAGCUGCCAGACACUGCACUGUGGCUUUAUUCUGAGAAUCCUUUGCCUGAAACCCGCUCUAUCUUUUCUCCGUGUGUCUCUCUCCCUCUCCCUCUCUCUCUCUCUCUCUGCUUCUCUCCCUCUCUCCUCGCUGUCUUUCCCUCGCUCAUUGUUCUCUCUCUCCUCCUGCCUUUGAUGCACAUACGUUGUCACAAUCCAUUGACUCUCUCCUCUGUUCUUACACUCAAGCCUAGCGGUGCUUUCGCCAGGCAGCAGCCUCUCCUGCGAGUUUGAGGCAUGUGUGCAGCUCAGUUUGAUCGAGCGUUCCUUCUCUGCCUCUUCACUCUUACAAAAGAUUAAAAGGUGGCGUCACAUUGCUCCCCUGUUCCUUCCCGCAGGAGGGACUUAAAAGGGACAACAAAAACUAAUCACUUUCAAUAAGCAUUUUCUUGCUGCAAAAAAAAAAAGAGAGAGAGAGAGAGAGAGAGA